GAUACAAAGAAAAAGGAAUAAAUAUAGUGAUAAUUUGAUUCUUCUUCGUCAUAGUAAAUAGGCGAGAAAAUAGAAUUUCUUUCUUCGUCUUUACAAAAACAAAAAAGAAAAAGAAAAAGAAAAAAAGGAGGAAGUUGUGGCACGUUCACUAAAAAAAAUCCUUUUGUAGUCAAUUAUUUAUUAAGAAAAAUUGAUAAGCUUAAUAAAAACGCAAAAAAAGAAGUAAUAGUAACUUGGUCCCAGGCAUCUACCAUUAUGCAUACAAUGACUGGUCAU
rnacentral:lncRNA from 1 species